GGGGUGCAGUUUUACAGAGGGGAUGCCUCAUAAUAAAGUGACAUUUGAGCAAAAGCUUCACAGGGUAUGAGCGUAAAGGAUAUCUAGGGAAAGAAUGAUUUAGGCAGAUGGUGCAGUAGGCAUAAAGACCUUUGGCUGGACCAUAUUUAGCUCCCCCUUUCAAGUAUUCAUUGGGAAUUUGUAGUUACGACUCUGAACUGCCUGUUCACAUACACGUUUUCUUCUAUUUGCCUUUUUUCUUAUUAAAUUAUGAGUUUUCUGCAUGUUAAAAAAAAUAGCCAUUGACCAGCAUGUGUAUUACCAAUAUUUUCCUCAUUUAUGUUGUGAGUAUGUAGCCAUAGAUAUACAUAUAUGAGUAUAUGUUAUAUGUAGACAAUUUCUGCACAGAAGAAUUAAAUUUCAUGUAAUGAAAUUUAUCAACCCUCUCUUUAUUGCUUUUAAGAAGGCCAUCCUGACUAAAGAAUUUAAAAUUUUUUUUCCUUUAAUGUUAUGGGUUAAAAAAAAUUAGAACUUUGAUCCAUUUGGAACUUAAUUUGUAAUAAAUAAGAUAGGGUUUUGCCAUUGAUGGUUAUGAAUUUCUUUACCUGAAUAAACCAUGUGGUCAUAUUGUAUCUGAGGCAAAAAGAAAAAAAAAAAAAAAGGAAAGAAAAAAUAAAUAAGAUAGAGUUUACUGUUUAAAAAAUAAAGUACUCUUGAAAUUGAGAAACUUCCCAAGGCCCCAAAGAAUGAACAUCUAAAUGUAAUAGCAAUCAAGGUUGGGUUGAAAUGAGUUGGAAAAGAUUCUACCAAAGUUGACUUUCAUAGGUGCCACCAGCUAUUCUCUAGAGUCUCACCUCCCAAAGUGCUUCUGUGGCACCUUAGUUCCAUUAAGAUGACUACAGAUAUUCAGGCAAAAAAGUUUUCCAUGCUAAAAUAAGCUUGAUAAACUUGGGAUAAUUAUUUUUUAACUAUAAACAGGAGCAGUUUGGGCCAUGGAGCCCUUGUUUCAUAAGGCAUCUUAGUAACCAACACUUGUAUCUACGGCAGUGGCUCCUAGACUUGGUUACAUCAGAAAUACCUAGAGAAAUAUUUAUAAAACAUACCUUUGAAUCUCAUUGUUGAUCAACUGAACUAGAUAGAAUAUGUAGGAAUUUUUAAAGAUUUCAUUGACUGGUGUUUUAGAAUCAGUAGUCUAGAGCAGCACCUAUCCUAUACUGUUCCACUAGAGAAUUAGCCCUAAGGAAUAUUAUUGGACAAUUUUCUCAAUCCUUCCAAGGGUAGGACAUAGUUAGCUGUGUUCUUCAUGCUCUUGUUGCAUAGGAGAGAGGUUAAUUCAUUGUGCACAAUGGAUUCCUCAGUGCAAUAUAGUUUAAAUCUCUCAAAAAAUGCAGAUUGGGAAGAGCCGGUCUAUAAUCAUAUGUAUUAGCUGCAACAGAGCUAGAUAUGGUACUUGGAAAUACAAAAACGAAAACAAAAACGAGCUACACCUGUAUGCUUUACCACCUCUUCAUCUCAUAUCCCUUACAAACAGAACAUUAAAUGCUGGAUUUGGUAGUAAGGAUGGGUAAUGGGAUAAAAUUAAAAUAAGUUUGAUUGAUAGGCACAUUCACUCCUGGGCUUCUCAAAUUAAUAGAGUUCUCAGAAGUUUGGCCUGGUUAAUCAUUUUUUGUUCUUUCUACGUAUAACAUGUUGAUAUGGUCUGUUAAGAGUUUUCUUGUAGUGCAGUGGGUUAAGCAGUGUCACUGAAGUGGCUUGGGUGGGUUCGCUCUCUGGCCCGGGAAUUUUUCUGUCCUGUGGGUGUGGCCAAAAAAAAAAAAGGAAAAGAAAAAGCUCAUUAAUAACAAAAAAAUCAUUUAUAAUUAGAUCUCAUUUUUCUUUAUCCUAACCUCAAGUCCUUAUCUUGUUUACAAUUCUUUUUUCCCACUAGUGUCUCUAAAGAAAGUAAAAUAUUCUGCCAUGAACUUCAAUGCAUUGUGCAACAUUAGGUACGUUCGGUUUUGAAAUUAAGAACGAUUUUUUUUCUUUUUUUUUAGGGCCGCAUACGCAGCAUAUGGAGGUUCCCAGGCUAGGGGUCGAAUGGGAGCUAUAGCCACCAGCCUACACCACAGCCACAUCAACGCCAGAUCUGAGCCACAUCUGCGACCUACACCACGGCUUGCAGCAAUGCCAGAUCCUUAACCCACGAGCGAGGCCAGGAAUUGAACCUGCUUCCUCAUGGAUGCUAGUCAGAUUCAUUUACGCUGAGCCAUGAUGGGAACUCCAAGAACGAUUUUAAUAAUCUAAAUAACCAAAUGUGUAAUCAUAGUGCCAGAUAUCAUGCUUAUUAUAAUAUUUUUCUCUUUCUAAAUCAAUUGGUUUGUAAGCUCUAUGAGUGCAUUUCAUUAUAUCAUAAUUGAAUUCACAGAGCUGUGAUCUUAUAACCCUAAUCCCUAUUACAAAAUGGAAAAAUCAUUACUAAAUUUGAUUUACAUGCUCCUUUUGGGUAGUGUCACCUACAUUACCUUCAUGGCAAGGAUUUUCUAUUAAAAUUCCUUUCUUAACUAGGAGUUGUAAUCCUUUAGAAUAACCAAGAUGAGCAUAUCUUACAUUUCAGUCAAUAUAAAAAUUUAACACAUUCAUUCCUGGCUAUCAAAACAAAUAUUCUAUCAAAGCCUAAAUUAUUGAAAAACCACAAUCCCCAAGGCAUAUUUUGAAAAGCACUACUCCUUUGAAAUUCUCUGCAAAGAAGGGGGUCUUAAGGUCAUAUAAGUUUAGGAAAUGCUGAAAUUCAGAAUAUAUCUUGGUAUCUUAUCUCCUUUAGAAUGCCUGCAGGUUUUUUGGUUUUUUUUUUUUUUAAGUUUCUACUCAAAAAUUUUCAAGCUUAUUAGACUAGAAUUUUUUUUUAAGUAUCUUAUUUAGUGAUACCCUAUAGGACAAAGUUUGGAAACUGCUGAGCUAUACUAAUGGUUUAUGGAAUAUCGACUACAUAUGUUCACAGUGAUUUCAUUUAACAUUGUAAGUCUUCCUAGAUGGUUCUAACAUAUUGUGUGAAACCCUCUAUGACCCAGGCCGAGAUAACUAGUUGUAGGGAAUGCCUUCCUCAGAUAACUAGUCAUAGGGAACUCUCUAAGAAGACCAGAAGUGUGACUUGAGAGAGAGAUGGCAACAGCAGGAUCAGGUGCCCUGGGGGCUUGAACCAGCUGUUCACUCAGCUAGUUUAGUCUUGACCAUAUGCUGGACUUCAGCCUCAUAGAUAGUUCUUUCUCUUUGUUGUGAUCUUAGAGUACGCUAUCAACAUCCAGUCUUACAGUGUGGUGGGUGAGCUAAUACCCAAGUUAUGAUGGACUGCUUAGGUGUAUGUUCACAUGGUGAUCUAUUUCAGCAGUCAGUCUCUUCAAGGUCCUAGCAGAAAGUUAAGAAUCAUUUCAUAAGUGAAGAAUGAUUAUAUUCAGAAGUGGGUGUGGCUUGGCUCUCAAAUCCUAAGGAUCUGUACUCUGAUUCUCCUAGCACUUAUGUCAGAGCUCCCUGCAUCAUCUCCAGCUGCCAGCUCUGCUGGGUCAUAAGGUGCAAAGAGCAAAGCAGCUUGCACAGCACUCUGGACCACCUGCAAAGCUUCUUUUAUUCUAGGCCCAUUGAAAACUGGCAAUCUUACAGGUCAUCACCUAUAAGUGAUGUGUCAGAACGGCACACUCAAUUGUGCUGUAUGUUGCUUUUAAAAUUCAAAGAAACUUACCAAGCCUUUCUAGUGAUAAGGAUGAAAGAUAUAGAAAUUUAUCUUCUAUUUUUUAGGAGUUAGCAUAUUUCCCAGGCCACUCAUGUCACAAAGAGGACAUGCCUUCAGUUUCCCCUCCAGCAUCAGGUAUUUUACCAAGGCAUCCAAAGUACCUGUUACUUCCUAUUCACGUCGUCCAGUCAGCAUGAGUCAUCCAUAUAAUGGACUAAAUGCUCUCCUCUAGAGUUGUGAGACAACUUUGGUUUCUGUGGACCAGUUUAUUGCCAAAAACCAGAAUGUUGACACAACUCUGAAUGAAGAUGAUGAACAUACAGAGCUGUCUCUGAUAGAUAAAAGCCAACUGCUUCUGUAUUUUUGCCAUUUAGAAUAGAGGGGACGAACAUUAUCCAAACCAAUAGCUAAUACCAACUAUUAUUCCAGCAAAGAGUUCACAUGGAUAACAUCUACAGUAGUAAUGCAGUAAUCCACUUUCUUUAUUCCAGAUUAAUCUGUAUUCUGCCUGGACGCAGCAGAUGAGUUAAUGUUGAUGUGAAAUAAUCAAUGGCCCUGUAGCUUUUGAGCUUCGAGAGUGGCAGUGAUCUUUGCAAUUAUCUCAGGGAUGUAGUAUUAAUUAUUGUUUACUCUUUGGGGGAAGCAAAUCUAAGGACUUCUACUGGGCCUUUCCUAGCAUAAAAGCUUUACCCCAGAGGUAAGGAUGCCAAUGUGGGGAUAUUGCCAGUAGCUGAUUGAUUCUAUUUCAAUCAGGAGUUCCCUUGUGAUGCAGUGCAUUAAGGAUCCACCACUGUCACUGCAGUAGCUGGGGUCACUGCUGUGGUGCAGGUUC
rnacentral:lncRNA from 1 species